CCACCCCGCCGGAGCCGCGGCUUCCGCGGCCCCUGGAGGCACAAAGUCACCCUCAGUACUUCAAGCCACCGGUCCAGAGCAGAGCCAACCCGGGCUUCAAAUUUCCACUGUUAAGUGCCGUGGCUAGAGAAGUAACACCGAGUUCUAGAGUUGGGAUUCAGGCACCGAGGCGCUCAGUUUACCGUACUGCACAGCAGGAACGCUCAUGGAAUCAGCUCCAUGUCACACAGCUGCUCCCACCGCAGAGGAACACCUUCCCCAGGAGAUGGUCUUUCCUCACAGCAGAGUGCUCCAUCCCUCUGAUCUUCAUGGCCUCCCCUGGACUCACUCCAGCAGCAUCACAUCCUUCCUGUGCUGGGGACCCUAGAGCUAGAUGCAACUCUGCAGUUGGUGUCUCAUGAGAGCAGAGAACAAGUUAAUCUUUCCCCCUUCUGUGUACCUGCCCUUGCCAUUCUAGACCAGCUCUCCUCUUCAGACAAAGGCUGGCUACCAGUUCCUUGUUCCAACACCCUCCAUCCUAGUCUGGGCCUGUUUGGUUUAAUUGUGUGUCACAGCAAGAGCACUGCUCUAACAUCCACCAAGUGCUAGUGCCAUUGGCCUAGCACAACAGGAACACUGAGAAGAGCAGCUUUAGGAAAUGCCAUACCCUGGACUUCUGAGCAGACAGCAGAUAUCUGCUCUUGUGACACUGCAAAAGCCAAGCAAACAUCUCCCAGAGGCUCUGCAAUGAGCAAUACUCAGGGAAAUAUAACAUUCCACAAGCUCCACUCCAGAAUAAUCCAGAACCAAGCUGGAGGAGAUCCUGCCCAGGAGGUGCACUACCAUGUCCAGGGACCAUCAGCACCACACAGGGACUGGAAAUUCCACUGAAGCCAAAACCCUCAUUUCAUCAGCACAGUCUGGCCUAAUUAGAGCUCUACAUGUCUAAAGGAGCACAGGGCAGGGAGAGAUGUGCUGAGCUUCUCUGCUCUUUAAGAAAAUAGGUUCCUGGGAACAAACAAAUUUAAUAAGCAGAAUCUCUGACAGAUCAAACCAAACCAGUUUUCCUGGGCAAACCAACAGCCUGUACAAACCUGCAACGUAGUCCAAGUGUCAUCAUCAAGGCUAGGAAAGAGGUGUACAUUUUCCAGCUGCUCCCAGAGAUAGUGAUGCACAUCAGUACCCUUGAGAAACAGGGUGACAAGUGACAAGGCACUGUGAUCUUAGGAUCCUGGUUAAAAUGAUGGAGUAUUCUGAAUACAUUGGGCUCUGGACAUUAACAGCAUAGUUCCCAGCUCAGACACCAUACUGGAUCAUGCUCUCAUGACAGGGCAGACUGCCUGUGUCACACUGUGCCCUGAGUGAAGCUCAGCAGAAGCACUCAGAUGGGGAAUUGCUGGCAACUUUUGCUACAACAGAACCAUUGGUUUUAAUCUAGAGAUGCCCUGGUAUGUCUCUGCCUUUCCUCCAGAAGCUGCCCCUCCAUACCCCUGUCCCUCUCUGUGAUCUCUUCUGCACUCCAGGGGAGCCAAAGAGCCCCAGCAGCUCCUAACUCCUCAGGCUGGAUACGUCAGUACAGGAAACCCUGCUGAGGGGCCUGCGGAGGGGGCAGGCAGGAAACCUGAGCCUCAGCUGUGGUCUGGAACCAAGUGGCCAAGGACAGAAGUCCUCCAGCUGCACACAGGUCCAGUGGGGACUGUCAACAGCCAGGUAAGAACAGCUGGUGAGCAUGUGGAGCCAAUAUGGAAGCUCUCCUGCAGUUGUGCAACUUCCUUCAGCACUACUUUUAUUAAUAAAAUUCUGUAAGUCCCUUACCCUAUCAUUAGCUGCUAUUAAAGCUGAGUAAAGCCUUACUCCAAAUCCUUGCCCAGACUACCCUAAGAACAAGGAUAAGCAAACCACAGCUGUUGGAAGUGCUGGAAAGGCAGAGCUGAGGUGCAGUUUCACACGCCUCACCUUGCUCCCAGGCAGUCACUGACUCACACUCAAGUAAUUUGGGCUGUACCUUCCUGUGCUUCAGCAUGCAAGUGACAGCAGUGUGGGACACAACCUGCUUCCAGGCAGGACAUGCAGCAGGUGGGAUUCUCAUGGUGUGGAGGUUGACAUGGGACCUGUCACCAGUGUAGCACUGACAGGCAGUGAGGGUGAGGCUUUGAAGUUCAUUAUCUUAAGGCAGGUGCCUAAAAUAGGUCAGGGUAACCUCACCCAACCCCCCCACCCCACCCCUUGCUGCUCUGCACUGACUGUACAGGGAGCCUGGGGUGACUCGCUCAGCCCCAGGCCUCAAAGCCUGAGAAAGUGAAACCCUGGCAACAACAGAGCAACUUGGGAAACACAAUUUUGCCACAAUGUAUGAAACCACAAAGCCUAUCUUUUUUUUUUCUGAGAAAAAACACUUAGUGAGAAUGAAAAUGCUGCUUCUCUGCCCCAGCCCCUUGGAUGCAGUGAAACAAGGUACCAUCACAACCAGUCCCCCAGGAUUUUCUGAACUCAGCUGUGCUUUCUGACAGGACAAGCAGAAGCAGCAUGAAGCCUCCCAACAACUCAGCAGACAGUGCCCUGUGCCAGCCCUGCACAGCCCUCUGUCCCUGUGUGCAACUGCACUAUGUGGCUACACCAAAUAAACCCCUGCCCCUCCCACCAUGCCGUGACACCCCUGGGCCUAGGCAAGGAGAGAAGCUGGUUCUGCAGAAAAUGUUUAAUUAGCAAAUCUUGUUCCUAGUCAGGUUUCCUGCCUCUGCUACAGCCAAAAUCCCCCUCGGUUACCCAGACAUGCUCCAGGACUCGCUUUCAGACACACCAGGGGUGACAUUACCAAGGCAGUGAGGACACUUCAUUAGCUUGGGAAAGGGCACAGGAUUCAGGGAUCCUUGUACCCAGGUACCUGCACCUGCAUUCCAAAUGGAUUUACACUCUCAAAUUCUCCUACCAAUCUACUAGCCAGGUUUCAAUCAAAGCCAUCUAAGCACCCAUGGAUCACUUAAAAUACACUAAAAAUUUACAGUCCAAGUCUGAACAGACAAGGAGUUGUCUAUUAAAACCCAGACUUAAACCUGAGUUUUAAACCGCUCUUUCACUGAUAGAGCUAUGGAAAAACUGCUCCUAAAAGGGGAUUUAAAGGUGCAGAAAUAGCUGCAGAUCACUUAAGUACAAUGGAGAAUGUGCAAGAGCUACAUGAAUUAAGGCAGAGAAGACAUUUCAGUCAAUGGUGAUGACAAAGGUGACAAUGUCAGCAAAGGUGGCAAGAACCCACAUGAAUCAUACCAAGGCCGACUGAUACUGAGUAUGGGAGAAGGCACACAGCUUAAAAGCAGCUGGGGAGCCAACAGGCACUUAAAGAGGAAAUGGUGGCAUUAAACAACCUGGAAAUUGAAAUAAUUUAGGAGCUUUACAGUCAAAAAAUUAGGCCUCCAAAUGCAGAGUUCUGAGGGAGUUUCACAAAGGAAUCUUGGAUACUGUCCUCAUGCCUGGAACCACACACAUCUGAAGAAGAUGAUGUAAAAAAUUCAAAGUCUCCAACAGACAUUAGAGUAUCUUUCACAAGGAAGUACAAGAUUACCAAGAAAAGCCUUUAGUGACCACAAAUACAACAGUAAGGAUUACUCUUGAUCUGCCAGCACCUACAAUUAGCAAAAAAAAAGGGUGUAUCAGCACAGGUGAAGUGCCUGUAUGAGUGUUUAAUACAACCAGUCCAAAGUAAACACAGUCUAAAGCAGUAUGGGGUCAAGCUGUCCCCCUCAGUGUCAUCAGGCAGAUCCAACACAUGCAGACACUUACCAGACAUUAAGUACUUGCAGGCAGUAACAGUAACGAAGCCAGUGCACAUAUGUUCUAAUAGGCAAAGCUGGAGCCAAAACACUCUGCUAGGAUCUGCAACAGCAGUGAACAAGCAAAGAAACAGGCAUAGAAUUUGAAAACACAGAGAGGAAGAUAAACACUAAACACAGCAAUAAGUAAAACAAGAAACAGGAGUACUCUGCAUGGAAAUGCCAGUAACUUGCUGGAAUGAUGAGGGAAGUUAGGGAAUAGGAACCCCCAUCUCUGGGUGCCAUAUGUUCACUGCAAGGCAUUAACAGCAGAUUGAAAAGCAUUUGUGGACAACGGCAGAAACUGUUCUAUAACAUACUGAGACGUGACUGGGACACUUCCAUGCAUGCAUGGGCUCUGCCUUCCACAUAAACACGCCACAGAAGUUGAGAAGAAAAAAGGCAGAAACCAUUCUGUUCCACUCAGCAGGGAACAGUGGAGUCUGUGGUUCCACAGCAGCUGUAGCUGAGCCCUGGUACCCCACAGUUCCCUGCUCCAGCACCCAGCUGGUCCUACACUGAGGUCAGUAAGAGCAAAAGAAAACAGCCCUUCUUGCAGGAAGGGAUUUGUUGGGGUUUUUUUCCCAAUUUAACACAAAGCUCAGUGCCAAGGGCAGUGUAAAAGUGAAAACUUGAUUGCAUGGGUGAGACAAGACAGAUAGUAAUAGCCAGCAGGUAAGAUACUAUAUAUAUGUAUAAAUAAAAGUAACUCAGCAUAGGGCAUUGCUCUGGCAACUUGUGCAGAAUUGCAGAGAAUCAACUCCAGAACUGCUAGAAGACAGCACCAGGCUCAUUGUGGGACAUCACAAGCUUUUGAGAACACUGCACACCAGCAGCAGCCACCCAAGGCAGGUUCCACAACAGAGUUUGGAAAUAACUGAAAAGCCACAAAGGUCCCCACUCUCAGCAGAGCAAGUGAAGUGCAGCUUUUGCAAGUGGUGGUGAGAACAUGAAAUACAAUUGACAGUUGCAGCCACAGAGCUCUAACAAAUGGAAAAGCAACACCAAGAUGCUGAAGGUCUUUGCACCCUACUUGUAGAACACUGCUUGGAAUCCCUCCCCAAUCUGAAGCUCUGCAACAAGUCCCUCACAGCAGCUGCCUCUGAAACAGGAACUGGAGCACUGACAAACCUCAGGGGUUCUUGUCCUGGAGAAAGGACAGAUGAAAAAUGCAGGGUAAAAAUCACAGAAACAUUGAGACUGGAAAAAAUUGGAGUCCAGCUAUUCUCCUAGCACUGCCAUGUUUAUCACUAAACCACGUCCCCAGGUGCCAAAUCCACAAUUUUUAACAUUUUCAGGAAUGGUGACUCCACCACUGCCCUGGGCAGCCUGUGCCAGUGCUUGACCACCCUUUUGGGAAGGCAUUUUCCCUAACAUUUAAUCUAAAUCUCCUCAAUACAACUGGAGGUCAUUUCCUCUUGUUC